UACGGAGGGUGCAAGCGUUAUCCGGAAUUAUUGGGCGUAAAGCGUCUGUAGGUGGCUUAGUAAGUCUACUGUUAAAUACUAGGGCUUAACUCUGGAACGGCAGUGGAAACUACUAGGCUUGAGUACGGUAGAAGUAAAGGGAAUUCCCAGUGUAGCGGUGAAAUGCGUAGAUAUUGGGAAGAACACCAACGGCGAAAGCACUUUACUAGGCCGACACUGACACUAAGAGACGAAAGCUAGGGUAGCGAACGGG
rnacentral:rRNA from 1 species